GAUGAACGCUGGCGGCGUGCCUAAUACAUGCAAGUCGAGCGAACAGACGAGGAGCUUGCUCCGCUGACGUUAGCGGCGGACGGGUGUGUAACACGUGUAUCAUGUACUUAUAAGACUGGUAUAACUUCGGGAAACCGGCGCUAACAGCGGAGAAUAUAUUGAACCACAGUGGUGGAUAGUAAAAUACGGCUGUUGUGGCUGGUCUCGCUGGUUCCGGGCCGCAUUGGCUAGUUGGUAAGGUAACGGCUUACGAAGGCGACGAUGCGUAGGCGACCUGUGAGGGUGAUCGGCCACCCGAGAGCUGAGACACGGUCCAUGCGCCUACGGGAGGCAGCAGUAGGGAAUCUUACGCAAUAGGCGAGAGCAUGACGGAGCAACGCCGCGUGAGUGACGAAGGUCUUGGGUUCGUAAAAAUCUGCUAUUAGGGGAAAACAAAUGUGUAAGGAACUAUACCCUUCUUGACGGUACCGAGUCAGAAAGCAACGGCUAACUACGUG
rnacentral:rRNA from 1 species